GUGUGCAAUCUCUCUCUCUCUCUCUCCCUUUCUCCCACCUCUCUCUCUCUAUAUAUAUAUGUAUAUAUAUAUAUAUAUAUAUAUAUAUAUAGAGAGAGAGAGAGAGAGAGAGAGAGAUAUAGAUAGAUAUAUAUA
rnacentral:miRNA from 1 species